rnacentral:rRNA from 1 species
AUUUUAUGGCCAAGUUACUAAGGGUGAACGGUGGAUGCCUUGGCGCCGAGCGGCGAUGAAGGACGUGGCAAGCUGCGAUAAGCCCCGGGGAGCCGCAAACAGGCUUUGAUCCGGGGAUUUCCGAAUGGGGAAACCCGGCGGGGGUCAUGCCCCGCCACGGCGGCCUGAAUACAUAGGGCCGUUCGAGCAAACCCCGGGAAGUGAACCAUCUCAGUACCGGGAGGAAAAGAAAGCAACCGCGAUUCCGUCAGUAGCGGCGAGCGAAAGCGGAACAGCCCAAACCCGAGGGCCUCCGGGUCCGCGGGGGUUGUGGGGCAGGGUCCGGAUCAGAUCCGGGGAGUUACCAAUCGCGCACCUAGGAGAAGGUGUCUGGAAAGUCCAGCCAAAGAGGGUGAAAGCCCCGUAUCCGAAAGGUGUCGCGACUCCCGACCUUGUACCCGAGUACCACGGGGCACGAGAAACCCCGUGGGAAUCCGGGAGGACCAUCUCCCAAGGCUAAACACGUCUCGGCGACCGAUAGUGAACCAGUACCGUGAGGGAAAGGUGAAAAGCACCCCUGUCAGGGGAGUGAAACAGACCUGAAACCGUUCAUCUACAAGCAGUGGAACCCCCAUGGGCUCGCCCGGGGGAACCGCGUGCCUUUUGCAUAAUGAGCCGGCUAGUUACCGUCCGUGGCGAGGCUAAGCAACGUGCUGAGCCGUAGCGAAAGCGAGUCUGAACAGGGCGUUCAGUCACGGGCCGUACACGCGAAGCGGGAUGAUCUAGCCUGGGCCAGGAUGAAACGCGGGUAACACCGCGUGGAGGUCCGAACCGGUGUUUGUUGAAAAAAGCUCGGAUGAGCUCAGGCUAGGGGUGAAAGGCUAAUCAAAUUCCGUUAUAGCUCGUUCUCCUCGAAAUGCCUUUAGGGGCAGCCUCGGACGAACACCUGCGGUGGUAGAGCACUGGAUGGACUAGGGGCCUUACCCGGUUACUGAAUCCAACCAAACUCCGAAUGCCGCAGCGUGCUAUCCGGGAGUGAGACGGCGGGGGAUAAGCUUCGUCGUCAAAAGGGAAAGAACCCAGAGCGCCAGCUAAGGUCCCCAAAUCGGUGCUUAGUGGAAAACGAUGUGGAGACGCUCCGACAGCCAGGAGGUUGGCUUAGAAGCAGCCAUCCUUUAAAGAAAGCGUAAUAGCUCACUGGUCAAGUGGCUCCGCGCGGACAAUUCAACGGGGCUCAAGCACCGUACCGAAGCUGCGUCUGCGCCGGGGAUGCGUCCCCGACGCGGGGUAGAGGAGCAUUCCGUGCGCGUCGAAGGCGGACCGAGAGGACCGCUGGAGCGCACCGAAGAGACCCUGCCGGCACAAGUAGCGAGAAAGCAGCUGAGAACGCUGCUCGCCGAAAGACUAAGGUUUCCUGAGCAAGGUCAAUCCGCUCAGGGUCAGUCGGACCCUAAGGCGAGGCCGAGAGGCGUAGCCGAUGGACAUCAGGUCAACAUUCCUGAACUUCCUUCCGGGUGACAAAGACCGAAAGGGGUGACGCAGGAGGCUAUCCGGACCCACGCGUUGGUUGUCGUGGGCCAAGCUCGUAGGCGGAGGGGGCAGGCAAAUCCACCUCCUCGUCAACGCCGAGAAGCGACGGGGUGGCCGCAAGGCCGGAACCCGGAGAUGCCACGCUGCCGAGAAAACCCUCGUUCGGGACUCGGAGGGAAUCCGUACCGCAAUCCGACACAGGUAGUCAAGGAGAGAAUCCUCAGGCGCUCGAGUGAAGCGUUGCGAAGGAACUCGGCAAAUUAACACCGUAACUUCGGAAGAAGGUGUGCUCCUAGGGGUGUAGAGGCUUGCCCUCGAGGCUCCCGGGGGUCGCAGGAACAAGGCCCAGGCGACUGUUUAUCAAAAACACAGGACUCUGCGAAGUCGAAAACGACGUAUAGGGUCUGACGCCUGCCCGGUGCUGGAAGGUUAAGGGGAGGGGUCAGCCGCAAGGCAAAGCUCCGAACCGAAGCCCCAGUAAACGGCGGCCGUAACUAUAACGGUCCUAAGGUAGCGAAAUUCCUUGUCGGGUAAGUUCCGACCUGCAUGAAUGGCGUAACGAUCUGGGCACUGUCUCCGCAACGCGCUCGGCGAAUCUGUACUCCCGGUGAAGAUGCCGGGUACCCGCACGUAGACGGAAAGACCCUGUGCACCUUUACUACACCCUGGCCCUGAACUCUGGUGCUGUCUGCGCAGGAUAGGUGGGACGCUUUGAACCUGGGGUUUCGGCCUCGGGGGAGCGGACGGUGAGAUACCACCCUGGCGACACUGGAGUUCUAACCUAGGCCCGUGAUCCGGGCCGGAGACACGGUCAGGCGGGUAGUUUGACUGGGGCGGUCGCCUCCCAAAUUGUAACGGAGGCGCUCGAAGGUACCCUUAGGCGGAUUGGAAACCCGCCGUUAAGUGUAAAGGCAGAAGGGUGCUUGACUGCGAGACGGACAGGUCAAGCAGGUGGGAAACCAGGACUUAGUGAUCCGGUGGUUCUGCAUGGAAGGGCCAUCGCUCAACGGAUAAAAGGUACGCCGGGGAUAACAGGCUGAUCUUGCCCAAGAGUUCACAUCGACGGCAAGGUUUGGCACCUCGAUGUCGGCUCAUCGCAUCCUGGGGCUGAAGCAGGUCCCAAGGGUCCGGCUGUUCGCCGGUUAAAGCGGUACGUGAGCUGGGUUCAGAACGUCGUGAGACAGUUCGGUCCCUAUCUCGUGUGGGCGUAGGAAGCUUGAAGGGCCCCGACCUUAGUACGAGAGGACCGGGUUGGACGAACCUCCUGUGCACCGGUUGUCGCGCCAGCGGCACACGCCGGGUAGCGGAGUUCGGCAGGAUAAGCGCUGAAGGCAUAUAAGCGCGAAGCCGACCCUGAGAUGAGGCUUCCCUGGGGGCAACCCCCUGAAGGACCGUGGGAGAUGACCACGUUGAUAGGCCGGAUGUGGAAACGAAGAGUGAAGCUGACCGGUACUAAUCGUCCGUGAGGCUUGGCCAUAAAAUAC